GCUGCAGCAUUGUUUGAGAAAGAGCCUUGUAGGAAGUUGGGGUAGUAGCUUCUUUUUGCUUAGAGCAGGCCCUGACAAACUUUAUUUGGAUCUAAGAGCCAGCCCAAAAAUUUAGAAACCAGACAAUGAACAUUUGACCAAAUUACUGGACUUCGUGAUUGGGAGAAGGCAUGUCUUGAAGAGCGACUGUAAAUGUCAGUCAAGUAUGGAUUCAUUGGUGUUUAGAUUCAAGCUCUCAUGGUUAGGCAGAGAUGCUGGGCCCUACACAGCAAAUAGUUCCUCCCUCUGACUCCAUGGUACCCACAUCCACAAGUCAUAUUGGAUUUCAUGAACGAUUCACAAGAAAAUAAUAUCUUACAUAUAUCUUGAUUUCUGUCAUACUGUGCUUUUUUGGUAGAAAACUUGAAUUUGGGGGGUGGCGUACAAAGCAGCUUUAUUCAUGCCUCUCUGUGCUUUGUAAUCAAGUGGGAGGAAUUUGCCCUAAUUUCAGCAAUUUAUCUAAGUCCCUCCACCAGCUGUUAUGGGAAAAACCUUGUAGAAAUAUGCCUGUUGUCUUUUAUAGUUUGAAAUAAACUGUGUGGAAAUUGCUCCCUGGAGCAGAUGAGACCCAAAGUCCCAUAGUUAAGGCCUUAAAUGCAUGUUACUGUUAAACUCUCAGUAUGCUUUGUCUACACAAGA